rnacentral:lncRNA from 1 species
GAAAUGAGCAGAAUUUUGGCAGAAAUGAGGAAAUUUGGGAAUCUCAGAGGCCGUUUUGGGGCUCUCUGGGGAUUUUGGGGAAAUCAGGAGAUUUUUGGGGUGAAAUCUGGAGAUUUUGGGGUAAAAUCAGGAGGAUUUUGAGAUUUUAGGAGAUUUUGGGGUGGAAUCAGGAGAUUUUGGGUUGAAACCAGAAGAUUUUGGGUAAAACCAGGAGAUUUUGGGGCUCUGUAGGAGAUUUUGGGGUGGAAUCAGGAAAAUUUGGGUAUUUCAGGAGAUUUUGGGGUGAAAUCAGGAGGUUUUGGGGUGAAAUCUGGAGAUUUUGGGGCUCUCAGGUAAUUUUGGGGUGAAACCAGGAGAUUUUUGGGCUCUUCGGUGAUUUUUGGGGUGAAAUCAGGAGGAUUUUGAGCUCUCAGGAGAUUUUUGGGGUGAAAUCAGCAGGUUUUGGGGUAAAAUCAGGAAGUUUGGGGUAAAAUCAGGAGAUUUUGGGGUCACUGAGGAAGCCCCGCCCCCAAAUAACAAAGCCACGCCCCCUUUCAGGACCCUGCGCUCCCCAUUGGCCCGAGGCCGGUGACGUCAUCGCGGGUGGCACCAAUCAGAGCCUGGAGCUCCGGAGCCCCCCCAGCCUGAGAAGAGCCCCCCAAAAACCCCCAAAAUCCCCCAAAAUCCCCCAAAUUCCCCCAAAAUCCCUCAAAUUCCCUCAAAUCCUCCAAAAUCCCUCAAAUUCCCCCCAAAAAUCCCCCCAAAAAUCCCCCAAAUUCCCCCCAAAAAUCCCCCAAAACCCCCCCAGAACCCCCAAAUUUCAUUUUUUUGGGGGGUCUAGACCCCUAAACCCCCCCCAAAUUCCCAUUUUUUGGGGUCAGGACCCCCCAAAUCUCCUUUAAAAUCCCCCAAAUUUCAGAUUUUUGGAGUCAGGACGUCCCAAAUCUUCCCCAAAUUUUGGAUUUUUGGGCUCAGAACCUCCUAAAUUUUGGAUUUUCCGGGCUCAGGACCCCCCCAAAUUUCAGAUUUUUGGGGUCAGAACCACCUAAAUUUCAGAUUUUCAGGAUCAAGACCCCCCAAAUUUCAGAUUUUCAGCCCCUCAACCCUCCAAAUUUCAGAUUUUUGGGGUCAAGACCCCCUAAAUUUCUGAUUUUUGGGGACAGAACCCUCUAAAUUUCGGAUUUUCAGCCCCUCAACCUCCCAAAUUUCAGCUUUUUGGGUCAAGACCCCCCUAAUUUCAGAUUUUUGGGGUCAGAAUCCCCUAAAUUUCAGAUUUUUAGGCUCAAGACCCCCAAAAUUCACAUUUUUAGGCUCAAGACCCCCCAGAUUUCAGAUUUUUGGAGUCAGGACCCCCUAAAUUUCGGAUUUUCAGGCUCCAGACCUCCCAAAUUUCAGAUUUUUGGGUCAGAACCCCCCAAAUUUCAGCUUUUCAGCCCCUCAACCCCCCAAAUUUCAGAUUUUUGGGUUCGAGACCCCCCAAAUUUCCAAUUUUUAGGCACAAGACCCCCUAAAUUUCUGAUUUUUGGGGUCCAGACCCUCCAAAUUUCUGAUUUUUAGGGUCAAGACCUCACAAAUUUCAUAUUUCUGGGGUCAGAACUCCUAAAUUUUGGAUUUUCAGGUUCAGGACCCCCCAAAUUUUCGACUUUUGGGGUACAGACCUUGAAAUAUCUGACUUUUGGGGUCAAGACCCCCUAAAUUUCAGAUUUU